AAUGCACCAAUUUGUAAGUCGCUCUGGAUAAGAGCAUCUGCUGAAUGACUAAAU
rfam:Salmo salar isolate Sally breed double haploid chromosome ssa09, whole genome shotgun sequence.